UGCUUUCAUUUUCAUGCUUGUUCGUCCUGUUUCCUAUUUUGGGUCGUACUAUAAUGUUAUACGGCCUGGAAAUAGUUUGAAUAAACGUCUACAUCUGCAGUAUUCAUGAAGGAUUAUGUAUUCUUCUUGAAUUUUAUAGAUUUAUAAUGAGUCGAAUCAGUCUUCAUCUCAAUAUAGGAUCAAAAAUGGAAUAUUUAAAUGAGAAUUUCACUUCCUGAGAUCAAUAAACCGAAGAAGAAUUUCUGACAGAUGGUUGGUAACACAUUGUUCUUCGGUUACACUGGCAGGUGGCAGCUCUUCACCUCAGAUCACUCUCAUUUUUAAAAUCGUUCUUGCAGCUAACACUCUGGUUUGCUUACACUAUAAGAAAUAUUCAUCCAUAGCAAAUCAAGAUGUACCAGGCUCCAUCUUAUAUUCAUUUUCCUGAAUCAAGAUUAGGGUAUUUCUUCUUCACUGUUGGUUUCUUGGGUGCUUUAUACUUUACCGAUGCAUACCACGCAGUAAGUAACAGAGUUAGAAGAGCAUGGCGUUACUUAACAGGACAGGAACAAGAAGAUCGACAGCAUAAUCAAUGAUGUUGCAAGAACAUAAUAUUGAAGUCGUAGUGAAAUACUGAAAAUUGUAGUGUUACACAGUAUGUAUGCUGAAGUUAGUUAGGAAGUUUUAUAUUUGUAUUAAAUUAAUCAAGUGUUAUUUGUUUGUCAGAAAUUUGUCCAAUGAAAUAAUGUGGAAUUUGCGAUUUUUUAGUGUAAUCCAUUCACAUUAUGUACAUGAAAAUGUUUUCAUUCGAUGAUCAGUUGAAUAAAUAAUGUGAUUUUA